UGGGCAACCUGCCCUCAGCUCUGGGAUAACCCCGGGAAACCGGGGCUAAUACCGGAUACGACCUCCGCGGGCAUCUGCGGAGGUGGAAAGGUUUUCCGGCUGAGGAUGGGCCCGCGGCCUAUCAGCUUGUUGGUGAGGUAAUGGCUCACCAAGGCGACGACGGGUAGCCGGCCUGAGAGGGCGACCGGCCACACUGGGACUGAGAUACGGCCCAGACUCCUACGGGAGGCA
rnacentral:rRNA from 1 species